GUAUAGAACCUACCUUUUACUGGAGAAUAGCCCAGAGAAAUUUGGAUUAAUGCUCCAUGGUAUCAUUUUUUGGCAUCCUUAAAUGAUUAAAGAUUUAUCAGUAGAAGAUGGCUAUGCGUUCUAUUAGCUAGUUGGUAUGGUAACGGCAUACCAAGGCGACGAUAGAUAGGGGUCCUGAGAGGGAGAUCCCCCACACUGGUACUGAGACACGGACCAGACUCCUACGGGAGGCAGCAGUGAGGAAUAUUGGACAAUGGAGGCAACUCUGAUCCAGCCAUGCCGCGUGUAGGAAGACUGCCCUAUGGGUUGUAAACUACUUUUAUAGAGGAAGAAACCGCUCUACGUGUAGAGCUCUGACGGUACUCUACGAAUAAGGAUCGGCUAACUCCGUGCCAGCAGCCGCGGUAAUGCGAGGAUCCAAGCGUUAUCCGGAAUCAUUGGGUUUAAAGGGUCCGUAGCGGGUUUGUAAGUCAGUGGUGAAAGUUUUCGGCUCAACCGGAAAAUUGCCAUUGAUACUGCAAGUCUUGAAUCGUUGUGAAGUGGUUAGAAUGUGUAGUGUAGCGGUGAAAUGCAUAGAUAUUACACAGAAUACCGAUUGCGAAGCAGAUCACUAACAAUGUAUUGACGCUAAGGGACGAAAGCGUGGGUAGCGAACAGGAUUAGAUACCCUGGUAGUCCACGCCGUAAACGAUGGUUACUAGCUGUUCGGAUUUCGGUCUGAGUGGCUAAGCGAAAGUGAUAAGUAACCCACCUGGGGAGUACGUUCGCAAGAAUGAAACUCAAAGGAAUUGACGGGGGCCC
rnacentral:rRNA from 1 species